rnacentral:lncRNA from 1 species
GGCAUUUUUCCAGAGGUGGAGCCACCUGAGGCUAUUCCUGAAAUUCCAGAACAUCCUCCAACUGAAGAGUUUGAAGUCUUCAAGGAAGUCAUUCCAGAGGGAGAAACUCCUAUUGUUAAAAGAAGAAAAACACCAUCACCAACAGCACCAGAAGCUAUGAAAGAAGUUGUCCCUGAAAUGAAAAUAUUUGAGGAUGUACCUGAAGAGCCAGAAACUCCACGUAUGAAAACGCCCGAAGCUCCUCAAGAAAUUAUUCCUGCCAAGACAGUUCCUUCCAAAAAAAGAGAACCCCCAUCAGUUAAAGUGCCUGAAGCUCUCCAAGAAAUUGUCCCUGAAAAGAAAACGCUUGUGGUUCCUCUCAGAAAGCCUGAAGUCCUUCCUGAUGAAGUGCCGGAGGCUCUCAGAGAAGUUGUCCCGGAAAAGAAAGUGCAUCCUCCCCAAAGGGCUGAAGUUGUACCUGUCAAAGUGCACGAAGCUCCCAAAGAGAUUAUCCCUGAAAAGAAAGUGUCGGUGGUGCCUCCUAAAAAGCCUGAAGUCCCACCUGUUAAAGUGCCAGAAGCUUCCAAAGAGGUUAUCCGCGAAGAGAAAGUGCCCUUGGCUCCUCCUAAAGAGCCUGAAGUCCCACCUGUUAAAGUACCAGAGCCUCCCAAAGAAGUAGUUCCUGAAAAGAAAGCGCCAGUGGCUCCUCCUAAAGAGCCUGAAGUCCCACCUGUUAAAGUGCCUGAGGCUCCCAAAGAAGUUGUUCCUGAA